rnacentral:lncRNA from 1 species
UUCAUUUCUUUAUCUAAAAUUGUACUCAAUACAGCAUCCCAGGAAAAUGUAUUAAACCAAUUCUCAAAUGAUGGCAUAACGGGCAAUUUCUCACUUUGAAGUCCAAGUUUCAAUCAGCGAUAUUUUUAACUGCAGGUUCAACUACUUCUUUUUAAGCAUAGAUAUUUUUUUAUAUCUCUUUUUGCCCCCUUUAUGGCUCUCUACUCUCUAUUCCUAGGAAAAUGUCUUUCAGCGAAAUUUCAAAAAGUACUUGCAUUUUUUUGGUUUACUCAUGAAUUGAACGCAAAACUGUCUUGUUAGGCUCAAUGUAGUAAUGACAUCUGACCCUUCAAAAAACAAAUAUUGACAUUUUUCGUCACAGCCGGAGUGUCCAAUCAGAAAAAUGUACCUCUCCUCCAAAUUUCUUCCAAAUUUUUCUUUGCAGUUUUGUUGUUAGGCAAAAUGUUUCUACAGAUCUGGGUGUUUCCUUGGAAAUUUUUAAACCACCUGGUGUGACAAACACAGAAAAGAGAAGACAAAAAAUAGGGGCCAAAGGAAUUAAGAGCUGAAACUGUCCAUCUUCUUCUAUCGUGGCCUUACUCUUAUAAAUAGCGCUAAUUUUUUCCAUGGGGGGGUUCGUUUGCGUUGACUAGCUGACGGCCUACUGUGCUGAGACAAAUGGUCAAUCCUCUGAUGUAAGGGUGUAUCUCUACUUCGACAUGAGCCCCAAAAAGCAUGGAGUUUCAUGUGCAUCAAGGCUCAAGUGGAAAUCGAGGUACGCCCUUAUGUCAGAGGAGCGACGAAAUUCUUGACUUAAGAAUCGUGUGAUCUGCGAAAGGAACGGAUGUAGAAAAUAUCAUCGAACCUGCGUCGUCGCAUCAAUUUAUAUUUCAGCCUCGCAGAAUCGGAGCAAUUUGUUUGGACCUGCCGCGCCGUUGGACAGCCGGUCUUGUUGCCAAAUAGAGUAUAAAAUUCGAUACGAUACUUAAGGAAGAAUAUCACUUUUAGGGCCCUUGACUUCAGAGUGUAAACAAAUCCGUCUGAAUGCAAGCGAAGACGAGGGUGUAUUAAGACGAGGAUUGCAAAUUUUGUUCACUUGCCGCCGCCGGGAUGUGGCAUGUCCACGAUUCUCCAGGAUCGAAACUUAUUGUCGUAGGCACUCGGGACGUCUCCACUCGUCUGCGAUCCCCAUAGGAAGGACGACGACCCGCAUUUUCCGUCCGAGUAGAACUUAACAACUUUGGUUUGGUCCUUGACGUCAGCCGAGAUCUUAACCGAAGAGACCUGCCCGGCGGUGUUUUUUCAAUCCAGAUGCACUGAUUCAGUGUACUAUCCGCCCCCGAACCUGGAGUACCGUAGCCCUUUUCAUUGUACACGUCAACUCUGUAAGCGUCAGUAGCGACCAUCAAGGAGAACAUCAUCAACAGGAGCAACAUCAUUGAUUUCCUCAUGUCCGGCUUAGUGUCUGAAACUGCAAUGUGCAAAAUGUUUAGUUGUUCAGGGUGGUGAGUGCUAAGAAAAAUCUUUCGAAAUCGAAAUCUUUAAGAUUUUCUCAAAAAAAGGGGAAUAAUUUUCAAGAAAAAUUCGUGAAUGAUAAAUUUUUCGUGAAUAAUUUUUAAGAAAAAAAUAAAUAAAAAAACUUUCAAUUUCUUCUAAUGGCAGAGUCAUGUAGUGGUACCACAAUCUUUUGGUCUUCCUCCCUUGUUGCCAGUAGAUAAAACUGCAAAUUCAAAAAAAAAAGAAAAUACACUAAAAAAUCUUCGUCCCCUGAAAGUCCACUGGCAGUAACAAUAGACGGCAUUUUUUUUAGAUAUUUGGUUCUGAGGUGAGAAAGCGCAAUUAAAAAAAAGCGGGAAAGUUUAAUACUGGUCGUAUUAGAAAAGCGCUCAGGUGUUAGUCUUUGUAUUUAGUGAAGAAUACAAAUUUUAUAUAGUUACACAUUUCUUUAUUUGCCCUUCUGAAUUUACAUUGUUAAUAAUUGAUUAAUAAUAUUGUUAAUAUACAUAGUUCCUAUAUUCUUUUGUUUUAUUCCUUACCACUGUUUAUUUUUAAUCCUCAUAUAAAAACCACCCAUUUGCUAAAUACAAUUCUAGCUGGAGCGCCUUUCAGCUAUGCAUUAACCACUGCAAAAAUGUCAAAGGAAAUCGACAAGCCCAGCGUGCAUGACGGUUAUUUUAACUGUAAUCUUCCGUUGCAUUUCUAAGGCGCAAUGAUACAACUAUUUGAACUCUCCGGAAUGCGUGAGGUAUCACACCUCAUUUGAAGGCGUUUUCAAAACAGCCAAGUUCCGAUUCCGGAUUAUCGUUUUGCAUACAAUAUUAAUAUCGUUAAUAUCAAUAAAUUCCAUCUUAUCCCUGUCUAUAUCCUGCUUUACAUCGAACGAUAUAUCGAAGAUCUAUAGACUAUACAAUAUUUUAUCCCUAU